rnacentral:rRNA from 1 species
GUCUACAGCCAUGCUACCCUGAACAAGCCCCAUCCCAUCUGAUCUUGGAAGCUAAGCAGGGUCAGGCCUAGUUAAUACUUGGAUGGGAGACCACCUAGGAAGACCAGGUGCUGUAGGCG